CCAGACCCGCACUACUUUCGCGAAACUCGCCGAGAUGUGCGUGCAUCGAUGAGAUAGUAAAGAGGCACGGAGCGCCCGUGUCGGCAGAAUCAGACAGAGACUAUCGCUUGUGGCAGAGUUGCAUAUAAUGACCGCUAUCAGGCGAGUAAUCAGAAAGUGCCUUACGCAGCUAUAUACGACCGGGUAGACCCAGUUGUGGUGAUAACAUGAGAGAGAGAUCGAUCUGAGUCCGAAAUGGAUACAGCAAUAGUAGGAUAGGUCAAGAUUGUUUGCGAAUGGCUUUCGGGCAGCUCAGAGUAGACAGUCGGACCGUGCCCUUGUGCGUACGCGUAGUUUAGAGUUCGAAGCAAGUAUUAUCUAAAGUUUAGCG